rnacentral:lncRNA from 1 species
AAGCUUCAGGUGAUUCGAUCAAUACAAAGCCUUCUCUCCUCUUCUCCUCAUAACCUAGACACCAAGAACAAAGCUCUCUCUCUCUCUCUCUCUCUCUCUCUCUCUCUUCCUAGUAUGCACAACCCACUUAUUCAAUGAACACUAAGGAACCGUAAUAUAUAUAUGCUGGGAAGACCGACUCGGUUCAUCUUCAUCAUCUGUUGUGGAGGGGGUCGGAGGAACUCGGUACCCUCCUUUUGCUAUCUUCCAUGCCUGCCGUCGGAAAAGGCCGGGGAGGUAGCGGUCCCCGCCCGAUGAAAAACGCCUGGCCUCCACUGUGGCUCCCGGAGCUCGCCAGAAACAACUGAGGGCCAGCAGCUGCAGUAGUAUUCUGGAAGUACAGCCAGAAGCUCAACAGUAGCUGCAGCGUCAGCAACAGCCCAACUCCUCCCUUCCUCCUCCUCGUACAACCGGCCGUCGACAUCCACGCGAUCGCACCGUUAUCAUUCCCGAGUGAGUCUCUUCGCCUGA